UGCGUCGGUGCGUGCAGGAGGUCGAAACGAGAGCCCGUCCGGCCCAGGUUACUUGCCCUCGGUCAGUAAGGCCCACACGUGUUCUUGUUCCGGGCCUUACAGCUCGGCAGGCUCUGGGCGAGAUUCAAGAGGUUGAACUCGAACCAAGCUAAACCCAGUCUUUAGGGCUCCUUCAGACCAGACAUCUCCUCUUCACGUUUCUUCAAAAAAAAAAAAAAA
rnacentral:lncRNA from 7 species